rnacentral:snRNA from 1 species
CUGAUAAAAAUCAAGAGAGU